rnacentral:rRNA from 1 species
AGAGUUUGAUCAUGGCUCAGGAUCAACGCUGGCGGCGUGCCUAAAACAUGCAAGUCGGACGGCCACCUUCGGGUGGCAGUGGCGGACGGCUGAGUAAGACGUGGGUGACCUGCCAUCUGGUGGGGGAUAACCCCUCGAAAGGGGGGCUAAGACCGCAUGAGGUCCUCGGAUCGUACUGAGGAGGAAAGCCGCAAGGCGCCAGGUGAGGGGCCCGUGGCCGAUUAGCUAGCUGGUGGGGUAACGGCCUACCAGGGCAGUGAUCGGUAGCUGGUCUGAGAGGAUGGCCAGCCAGACUGGGACUGAGAGACGGCCCAGACUCCUGCGGGAGGCAGCAGUUAGGAAUUUUGGGCAAUGGGCGCAAGCCUGACCCAGCAACGCCGCGUGGGCGACGAANNCCUUCGGGGUGUAAAGCCCUUUUCCAGGGGACGAUAAUGACGGUACCCUGGGAAUAAGCCCCGGCUAACUACGUGCCAGCAGCCGCGGUAAUACGUAGGGGGCGAGCGUUGUCCGGAAUCAUUGGGCGUAAAGCGCGCGCAGGCGGUUGGCAGAGCCCGGCGUGAAAGCCCCCAGCUCAACUGGGGGAGGCCGUCGGAGACCUGUCGACUUGGGGCCGGUAGGGGAGAGCGGAAUUCCCGGUGUAGUGGUGGAAUGCGUAGAUAUCGGGAGGAACCCAGUGGCGAAGGCGGCUCUCUGGACCGGUUCUGNNNNUCAGGCGCGAAAGCGUGGGGAGCGAUCCGGAUUAGAUACCCUAGUAGUCC